GGGAAGGUGGCUCAACGGUAGAGCGCUUGCCUUGCAAGCAUGAGGCCCUGGGUUGGAUUCCUCAGCACCCCA
rnacentral:tRNA from 1 species